rnacentral:rRNA from 1 species
GAUGAACGCUAGCUACAGGCUUAACACAUGCAAGUCGAGGGGCAGCAUUUUAGUUUGCUUGCAAACUGAAGAUGGCGACCGGCGCACGGGUGAGUAACACGUAUCCAACCUGCCGAUAACUCCGGAAUAGCCUUUCGAAAGAAAGAUUAAUACCGGAUGGCAUACGAAUAUCGCAUGAUAUUUUUAUUAAAGAAAUUCGGUAUGAGAUGGGGAUGCGUUCCAUUAGUUUGUUGGGGGGGUAACGGCCCACCAAGACUACGAUGGAUAGGGGUUCUGAGAGGAAGGUCCCCCACAUUGGAACUGAGACACGGUCCAAACUCCUACGGGAGGCAGCAGUGAGGAAUAUUGGUCAAUGGACGCGAGUCUGAACCAGCCAAGUAGCGUGAAGGAUGACUGCCCUAUGGGUUGUAAACUUCUUUUAUAUGGGAAUAAAGUUGUCCACGUGUGGAUUUUUGUAUGUACCAUAUGAAUAAGGAUCGGCUAACUCCGUGCCAGCAGCCGCGGUAAUACGGAGGAUCCGAGCGUUAUCCGGAUUUAUUGGGUUUAAAGGGAGCGUAGGCGGAUUGUUAAGUCAGUUGUGAAAGUUUGCGGCUCAACCGUAAAAUUGCAGUUGAUACUGGCAGUCUUGAGUGCAGUAGAGGUGGGCGGAAUUCGUGGUGUAGCGGUGAAAUGCUUAGAUAUCACGAAGAACUCCGAUUGCGAAGGCAGCUCACUGGAGUGUAACUGACGCUGAUGCUCGAAAGUGUGGGUAUCAAACAGGAUUAGAUACCCUGGUAGUCCACACAGUAAACGAUGAAUACUCGCUGUUUGCGAUAUACAGUAAGCGGCCAAGCGAAAGCAUUAAGUAUUCCACCUGGGGAGUACGCCGGCAACGGUGAAACUCAAAGGAAUUGACGGGGGCCCGCACAAGCGGAGGAACAUGUGGUUUAAUUCGAUGAUACGCGAGGAACCUUACCCGGGCUUAAAUUGCAAAUGAAUUAUGGGGAAACCCAUAGGCCGUAAGGCAUUUGUGAAGGUGCUGCAUGGUUGUCGUCAGCUCGUGCCGUGAGGUGUCGGCUUAAGUGCCAUAACGAGCGCAACCCUUAUCUUCAGUUACUAACAGGUCAUGCUGAGGACUCUGGAGAGACUGCCGUCGUAAGAUGUGAGGAAGGUGGGGAUGACGUCAAAUCAGCACGGCCCUUACGUCCGGGGCUACACACGUGUUACAAUGGGGGGUACAGAAGGCCGCUACCUGGUGACAGGAUGCCAAUCCCAAAAACCUCUCUCAGUUCGGAUCGAAGUCUGCAACCCGACUUCGUGAAGCUGGAUUCGCUAGUAAUCGCGCAUCAGCCAUGGCGCGGUGAAUACGUUCCCGGGCCU